GAUGAACGCUGGCGGCGUGCUUAACACAUGCCAGUCGAACGAAGCACUUUAUUUGAUUUCCUUCGGGACUGAUUAUUUUGUGACUGAGUGGCGGACGGGUGAGUAACGCGUGGGUAACCUGCCUUGUACAGGGGGAUAACAGUUGGAAACGGCUGCUAAUACCGCAUAAGCGCACGGCAUCGCAUGAUGCAGUGUGAAAAACUCCGGUGGUAUAAGAUGGACCCGCGUUGGAUUAGCUAUUUGGUGAGGUAACGGCCCACCAAGGCGACGAUCCAUAGCCGACCUGAGAGGGUGACCGGCCACAUUGGGACUGAGACACGGCCCAAACUCCUACGGGAGGCAGCAGUGGGGAAUAUUGCACAAUGGGCGAAAGCCUGAUGCAGCGACGCCGCGUGAGCGAAGAAGUAUUUCGGUAUGUAAAGCUCUAUCAGCAGGGAAGAUAAUGACGGUACCUGACUAAGAAGCACCGGCUAAAUACGUG
rnacentral:rRNA from 1 species